rnacentral:rRNA from 1 species
GGUUACUGCUAUCGGAGUUCGAUUAAGCCAUGCGAGUCUAAAGGUUUCUUCGGAAACCUUGGCGGACUGCUCAGUAACACGUGGAUAACCUACCCUUGGGACUGGGAUAACCCCGGGAAACUGGGGAUAAUACCGGAUAGAUCAGGGAUGCUGGAAUGCACCUUGGUCCAAAGCUCCGGCGCCCAAGGAUGGGUCUGCGGCCUAUCAGGUAGUAGUGGGUGUAACGUACCUACUAGCCAACGACGGGUACGGGUUGUGAGAGCAAGAGCCCGGAGAUGGAUUCUGAGACACGAAUCCAGGCCCUACGGGGUGCAGCAGGCGCGAAACCUUUACAAUGUGCGAAAGCAUGAUAAGGGAACUCCGAGUGCCAGCAUCUAAUGUUGGCUGUCCUUGUGCCUAAAACGCACAAGAUAGCAAGGGCCGGGUAAGACCGGUGCCAGCCGCCGCGGUAACACCGGCGGCCCGAGUGGUAGCCGCUAUUAUUGGGUCUAAAGGGUCCGUAGCCGGUUCGAUAAGUCCUCUGGGAAAUCUGGUUGCUUAACAAUCAGACUGCCAAGGGAUACUGUCGAACUUGAGACCGGGAGAGGUAAGAGGUACUUCAGGGGUAGGAGUGAAAUCUUGUAAUCCCUGGGGGACCAUCUGUGGCGAAGGCGUCUUACCAGAACGGGUCUGACGGUGAGGGACGAAAGCUGGGGGCGCAAACCGGAUUAGAUACCCGGGUAGUCCCAGCCGUAAACGAUGCUCGCUAUGUGUCAGGUACGGUGUGACCGUAUCUGGUGCCGUAGGGAAGCCGUGAAGCGAGCCACCUGGGAAGUACGGCCGCAAGGCUGAAACU